rnacentral:rRNA from 1 species
CCGAACCGACCCCCGUUGAAACGUUGGCGGAUGACUUGUGGCUAGGGGUGAAAUUCCAAUCGAACCCGGAGAUAGCUGGUUCUCCCCGAAAUAGCUUUAGGGCUAGCGUCGCAGCGAGAGAGCCGUGAAGGUAGAGCACUGAAUAUGCGAUGGCCGCAUCCCGCGGUACUGAGCAUAAUCAAACUCCGAAUGUCACGGUGUCAUCUGCGGCAGUCAGACGGCGAGUGAUAAGGUCCGUCGUCAAGAGGGAAACAGCCCAGACCAUCAGCUAAGGUCCCAAAGUGCAUGCUAAGUGGAAAAGGAAGUGGAGACGUGCAGACAACUAGGAGGUUGGCUCAGAAGCAGCCAUCCUUCAAAGAGUGCGUAACAGCUCACUAGUCGAAUGACUCUGCGCCGAUAAUUUACCGGGGCUAAGCAUGACACCGAAGCUAUGGACAGGAAUGUGGUAGGGGAGCAUUGCAUGCAGCGGAGAAGCAUGACCGAAAGGGCAUGUGGAGCGCAUGGAAGAGAGAAUGCCGGCGUGAGUAGCGGCACGUGGGUGAGAAUCCCACGCACCGAUGGCCCAAGGUCUCCAGAGGAAGGCUCGUCCUCUCUGGGAUAGUCGGGACCUAAGGCGAGGCCGAAAGGCGUAGCCGAUGGACGACGGGUGGAUAUUCCCGUACCCGAUGUGUGGCGAUGGAGUGACGGAGAAGGCUCAGGCAACCAGCUGCUGGAAUAGCUGGGGCAAGCGAGAUACCUGCGCACCAGGGAAAUCCGGUGCGCAUAAGGGGAAGGCGCGAUGCAUACGGAAAGCUUCGGCAAGUACGGAAAAGCUGAGAGCAGGCUUCCAGGAAAAGCUUCUAGCACAACACACAUCGGCCCGUACCGAAAAUGGACACACAUGGGCAAGGAGAGAAUCCUGAGGUGAGCGAGAGAACUAUAGCUAAGGAACUCUGCAAAAUGACCCCGUAACCUAGGGAGAAGGGGUGCUCCAGAAAUGGAGCCGCAGUAAAACGGCCCAAGCGACUGUUUACCAAAAACACAGCUCUCUGCGAAGGCGCAAGCCGAAGUAUAGGGGGUGACGCCUGCCCGGUGCUGGAAGGUCAAGGGGAGCUGUCAGCGCAAGCGAAGCAGCGAGCCGAAGCCCCAGUAAACGGCGGCCGUAACUAUAACGGUCCUAAGGUAGCGAAAUUCCUUGUCGGGCAAGUUCCGACCCGCACGAAAGGCGUAACGAUUUGGGCGCUGUCUCAGCUGUAGACUCGGUGAAGUCUUAGUACCUGUGAAGAUGCAGGUUGCCCGCGACUAGACGGAAAGACCCCAUGGAGCUUCACUGCAGGUUGACAUUGGGCUUGGAUGCAUGAUGUACAGGAUAGGUGGGAGGCUGUGAGCCGUGCGCGCCAGCGUACGGGGAGCCGCUGUUGGGAUACCACCCUUCAUGCAUCUAGGUCCUAACCGGAGGCAACGGGCCACGGGACAGUGUCAGUCGGGCAGUUUGACUGGGGCGGUCGCCUCCCAAAGAGUAACGGAGGCGCCCAAAGAUACCCUCAGCAUGGAUGGAAACCAUGCAUAGAGUGCAAAGGCAUAAGGGUGUCUGACUGCGAGACAUACAGGUCGAGCAGGGACGAAAGUCGGG